AGCAGGAGCGCUCGGCCUGAGCAUUGUUCCUCCAGAUUCUCCCUGAUGGAGCCUAGCCUGAGAGUGACCUCACUUCAUGCUAGCCGGCAGCUCAACAUCACUCUUCAAGGAGGACGACGCCAGGUGGUUCUCACAUGCGUCAAAGAGGGACUAAAUGUUACACUGGAUGCCAGCCAUAUGGCUGUAUGCAUGCUGUGAAGAGUAAGAGGGCUCAGCAAGGAAUAUUGUUCCUACAGAGUAUCUCUGAUGGAGCCUGGACUGAGAGUGAAUACACUUCAUGCUAGCCAACAGCUCAAAGUCACACUUGCAAGAAGGAUGAUGCCAGGUGGUUCUCACAAUGCUUUGAAGAGGGACU
rnacentral:lncRNA from 1 species